CGGCUGUAGCUAUAUCUAUGACUGAUGAGAAGUUAACUGGCCGGUGGUUGUAUGGGAUCUCUCUGAGAUCUCUGUUGACAUAUCUGCUUACCGAGCUUCUCACAUUU
rfam:Jatropha curcas cultivar GZQX0401 scaffold550_12, whole genome shotgun sequence.